UAGGGAAUCUUCCACAAUGGACGCAAGUCUGAUGGAGCAACGCCGCGUGAGUGAAGAAGGUCUUCGGAUCGUAAAACUCUGUUGUUAGAGAAGAACACGAGUGAGAGUAACUGUUCAUUCGAUGACGGUAUCUAACCAGAAAGUCACGGCUAACUACGUGCCUAG
rnacentral:rRNA from 1 species